GUAGGGAAUCUUCCACAAUGGACGAAAGUCUGAUGGAGCAACGCCGCGUGAGUGAAGAAGGUCUUCGGAUCGUAAAACUCUGUUGUUAGAGAAGAACGUGCAUGAUAGUAACUGAUCAUGUAAUGACGGUAUCUAACCAGAAAGCCACGGCUAACUACGUGCCAGCAGCCGCGGUAAUACGUAGGUGGCAAGCGUUGUCCGGAAUUAUUGGGCGUAAAGGGAACGCAGGCGGUUUUUUAAGUCUGAUGUGAAAGCCUUCGGCUUAACAGAAGAAUAGCAUUGGAAACUGGAAGACUUGAGUGCAGAAGAGGAGAGUGGAAUUCCAUGUGUAGCGUUGAAAUGCGUAGAUAUAUGGAGGAACACCAGUGGCGAAAGCGGCUCUCUGGUCUGUAACUGACGCUGAGGUUCGAAAGCGUGGGUAGCAAACAGGAUUAGAAACCCUGGUAGUCC
rnacentral:rRNA from 1 species